UUUUUUUAUUAGAAAAAAAUGAUCAGUAAAAUUUAACUAGUAUCAAACGAUCCAUUCCAACGUAAAGAAUAGUUUUUGUUGUGUACGCGGCGGCAGCGAUUGGAUUCGGAAGCAUUUUCGUUUAGCAUUGCUACAGCUAUUUCAGAAAUUAUUCAUAUGCGGAAUGAGAUUAUUAUUUUAAAAUAUUAAAAAUAAAUGUGUAUAUGAAUUUGAAUUUAAAAUAAAUUUAGUGAAAAAUAUUAAAAUAAUUACGAUAUUAAAAAUUUAAAUUAAAUUUUAUAAAAAAGUAUUUAAUAAAAGUUAUAAUAGAGUAUAACACAAAAUAUUCAAAAAUUAAAAUUUGACAAGCUACUUUACGUG